UGCUUCUUCUCUGUCGCCUCAUUCUAGUGAGGCCUAAAAACAUUUCCCUAUCCUCUUCUUUGCAAUCCCUUGCAAGCGCUCACAAGGAGGCCUCCACGAGUAGCACUCGCGAGGAGGCAACUGCGAGCAGCGCUAGCACGAAGGCCACCGUAAGCAGCGUUCGUGAGGAGGCCGCGAUAACCGGCGCUCGCGAGGCAGCGACUUGUGGCCUUGGAGAUCCACAGGAGGCAACUACACUGUUGUUGCGAAUAUGACUCUUCCUUCCUAUGUAGUUGCAAUUCCAUGAAGAUCCAUAGUUCCACUUCAUGCCUCCUUCCCAACUUUUCCAAGAACUAUCCACCUUCUAGCCUUUGCAUUGGAGAUCCUCUUUUUGCUGAUCCACUAUCUUCGAACGAGAUGGAGUAAUGUAAGGUUGCGCCAAGAGUUGCUUGAAUCAUCUCCAAAGAUUGCCAUUACUAUUAUAUGGGAGAUUGUAAGAGUGAUAUCAUCUGUCGUUUUUUUCC